ACAGGGAUUGCCCUAGUAACGGCGAGUGAAGCGGCAACAGCUCAAAUUUGAAAUCUGGCUCUUUCAGAGUCCGAGUUGUAAUUUGCAGAGGGCGCUUUGGCGUUGGCAGCGGUCCAAGUUCCUUGGAACAGGACGUCACAGAGGGUGAGAAUCCCGUACGUGGUCGCUAGCCAUCGCCGUGUAAAGCCCCUUCGACGAGUCGAGUUGUUUGGGAAUGCAGCUCUAAAUGGGAGGUAAAUUUCUUCUAAAGCUAAAUACUGGCCAGAGACCGAUAGCGCACAAGUAGAGUGAUCGAAAGAUGAAAAGCACUUUGGAAAGAGAGUCAAAUAGCACGUGAAAUUGUUGAAAGGGAAGCGCUUGCAGCCAGACUUGCCUGUAGUUGCUCAUCCGGGCUUUUGCCCGGUGCACUCUUCUGCGGGCAGGCCAGCAUCAGUUUGGGCGGUUGGAUAAAGGUCUCUGUCAUGUACCUCUCUUCGGGGAGAACUUAUAGGGGAGACGACAUGCAACCAGCCUGGACUGAGGUCCGCGCAUUUGCUAGGAUGCUGGCGUAAUGGCUGUAAGCGGCCCGUCUUGAAACACGGACCAAGGAGUCUAACAUCUAUGCGAGUGUUUGGGUGUCAAGCCCGAGCGCGUAAUGAAAGUGAACGGAGGUGGGACCCCAUUAGGGUGCACCAUCGACCGAUCCUGAUGUCUUCGGAUGGAUUUGAGUAAGAGCAUGGCUGUUGGGACCCGAAAGAUGGUGAACUAUGCUUGAAUAGGGUGAAGCCAGAGGAAACUCUGGUGGAGGCUCGCAGCGGUUCUGACGUGCAAAUCGAUCGUCAAAUUUGGGCAUAGGGGCGAAAGACUAAUCGAACUAUCUAGUAGCUGGUUCCUGCCGAU
rnacentral:rRNA from 1 species